rnacentral:lncRNA from 1 species
UCGAAUCAAGUCUCUUGAAAACUGUAAAGAAUUUGAGAUUUCCCAUUGUGAAAUGCCUUGACUUGUUCUUGGUCUAAAAUAAAUAAUAAAAGUAACAACAAUCACUAAUGACCUAUAAUUUAUCCGAAUUACCAACCAAUCCUAACCCCCGACCAAUAUAUGAUUAUCUUCCCCAACUUACGGCUUUUUCCACCAUGGAAUCAUGCCCCCC